rnacentral:pre_miRNA from 1 species
UUAGUACUCCCUCCAUCCGGAAAUACUUGUCAUCAAAAUGAAUAAAAGGGGAUGUAUCUAGAUGUAUUUUAGUUCUAGAUACAUCCCUUUUUGUCCAUUUUGAUGACAAGUAUUUUCGGACGGAGGGAGUAGCAA